UACGUAGGGGGCAAGCGUUAUCCGGAUUUACUGGGUGUAAAGGGAGCGUAGACGGCUUUGCAAGCCAGAUGUGAAAGCCCGGGGCUCAACCUCGGGACUGCAUUUGGAACUGUAUGGCUGGAGUGUCGGAGAGGCAGGCGGAAUUCCUAGUGUAGCGGUGAAAUGCGUAGAUAUUAGGAGGAACACCAGUGGCGAAGGCGGCCUGCUGGACGAUGACUGACGUUGAGGCUCGAAGGCGUGGGGAGCAAACAGG
rnacentral:rRNA from 1 species